rnacentral:misc_RNA from 2 species
CCAAAGAUGGCGGGCCUCUGUGCCCCCGUCCCCAACCCAUUGUUGACCAAAACCCUUUUGCCUCGGGGGCCGAGCGUCCGCCGCCGCCCCCGGAGGACCAUUCAACGCUGUCUCUUUGCGUCGGAGUAAUUGAUUAAAUAAAUGA